rnacentral:rRNA from 1 species
GACGAACGCUGGCGGCGUGCCUAACACAUGCAAGUCGAGCGAAAUACCCCUUCGGGGAUAUUUAGCGGCGGACGGGUGAGUAACACGUGGGUAACCUGCCUCAAAGAGGGGGAUAGCCUCCCGAAAGGGAGAUUAAUACCGCAUAAAAUAUGAAGUUCGCAUGAACUUUAUAUUAAAGGAGUAAUCCGCUUUGAGAUGGACCCGCGGCGCAUUAGCUAGUUGGUGAGGUAAAGGCUCACCAAGGCGACGAUGCGUAGCCGACCUGAGAGGGUGAUCGGCCACAUUGGAACUGAGAAACGGUCCAGACUCCUACGGGAGGCAGCAGUGGGGAAUAUUGCACAAUGGGCGAAAGCCUGAUGCAGCAACGCCGCGUGAGUGAUGAAGGUCUUCGGAUUGUAAAGCUCUGUCUUUUGGGACGAUAAUGACGGUACCAAAGGAGGAAGCCACGGCUAACUACGUGCCAGCAGCCGCGGUAAUACGUAGGUGGCGAGCGUUGUCCGGAAUUACUGGGCGUAAAGGAUGCGUAGGCGGAAACUUAAGUCAGAUGUGAAAUACCCGGGCUCAACUUGGGUGCUGCAUUUGAAACUGGGUUUCUAGAGUGCGGGAGAGGAAAGUGGAAUUCCUAGUGUAGCGGUGAAAUGCGUAGAGAUUAGGAAGAACACCAGUGGCAAAGGCGACUUUCUGGACCGU